rnacentral:sRNA from 1 species
UUUAGAUGAACUUCGGCUAAAAAGCUGCCACUUCCUGUGGCAAACGCCGAAGUCAGCACAUCCUGUGCA